AUCCAAAGCCUUUCAAACGGCAUCACACGUUCCUUCUCUCCACCCGCAUCUGUCCCUCAGGGAUGAAAAAAAACCACAGCUUGGAUCCCGAGGGAUGUCAAGUCGGCCCAGAGCUCUGGACACCAGCAAGUGGCACCUGGGUCACAGCGGUGAACAAAACAGGCAAAGCUUCCUGCUUUCGAGGGAGCUGACCUAUUGCUGGAGAGACAGACAAGAAGCAUGAGUGACUUAAAUACAUGUUAUGUCUGUUAAGAAGCACAACGGACGAAGAUAAUCAGGGUGACAGGGAGUAAUGGAGUUGCUGGUUCCUGGGCAGAUGCCAAAGAGCCCAAACCAUAUGGAGAGCCCGCGCGUAGGCUCUCUGGUUGAAAAUCCCAGCUAUGCCCCCACUCAACAGCCAGAAUCGACAGCCAACCAUGCGAGCGGGUCACCUGGGACGUCCGGCCCGGUUGGGCCUUCAGAUGAGCACAGCUCCAGCCGACCUCAAGACGCUCCAAGUGAGAAGUGCCCGGAAGUCCAUCCACAGGACCAUGAGAGAGGAUACCGAUUGGAGGCCAAUUUUUUGUUUUUUUGUUUGUUUGUUUUAUUUGUGACACUAAAGGACAACUGUGAGCCUAUUCUUUUAUUAGGAUAAUGAUUAUUAAAAAAAUUUUUUUAGUGUUUAUUUAUUUUUGAGAGACAGAGAGAUAGAGCAUGAGUAGGGGAGGGGCGGAGAGAGAGAGGGAGACCCAGAAUCCGAAGCAG